AAAUUGAAGAGUUUGAUCAUGGCUCAGAUUGAACGCUGGCGGCAGGCCUAACACAUGCAAGUCGAGCGGUAGCACAGAGAGCUUGCUCUCGGGUGACGAGCGGCGGACGGGUGAGUAAUGUCUGGGAAACUGCCUGAUGGAGGGGGAUAACUACUGGAAACGGUAGCUAAUACCGCAUAACGUCGCAAGACCAAAGUGGGGGACCUUCGGGCCUCAUGCCAUCAGAUGUGCCCAGAUGGGAUUAGCUAGUAGGUGGGGUAACGGCUCACCUAGGCGACGAUCCCUAGCUGGUCUGAGAGGAUGACCAGCCACACUGGAACUGAGACACGGUCCAGACUCCUACGGGAGGCAGCAGUGGGGAAUAUUGCACAAUGGGCGCAAGCCUGAUGCAGCCAUGCCGCGUGUGUGAAGAAGGCCUUCGGGUUGUAAAGCACUUUCAGCGGGGAGGAAGGCGGUGAGGUUAAUAACCUCAUCGAUUGACGUUACCCGCAGAAGAAGCACCGGCUAACUCCGUGCCAGCAGCCGCGGUAAUACGGAGGGUGCAAGCGUUAAUCGGAAUUACUGGGCGUAAAGCGCACGCAGGCGGUCUGUCAAGUCGGAUGUGAAAUCCCCGGGCUCAACCUGGGAACUGCAUUCGAAACUGGCAGGCUAGAGUCUUGUAGAGGGGGGUAGAAUUCCAGGUGUAGCGGUGAAAUGCGUAGAGAUCUGGAGGAAUACCGGUGGCGAAGGCGGCCCCCUGGACAAAGACUGACGCUCAGGUGCGAAAGCGUGGGGAGCAAACAGGAUUAGAUACCCUGGUAGUCCACGCCGUAAACGAUGUCGAUUUGGAGGUUGUGCCCUUGAGGCGUGGCUUCCGGAGCUAACGCGUUAAAUCGACCGCCUGGGGAGUACGGCCGCAAGGUUAAAACUCAAAUGAAUUGACGGGGGCCCGCACAAGCGGUGGAGCAUGUGGUUUAAUUCGAUGCAACGCGAAGAACCUUACCUGGUCUUGACAUCCACAGAACUUUCCAGAGAUGGAUUGGUGCCUUCGGGAACUGUGAGACAGGUGCUGCAUGGCUGUCGUCAGCUCGUGUUGUGAAAUGUUGGGUUAAGUCCCGCAACGAGCGCAACCCUUAUCCUUUGUUGCCAGCGGUUAGGCCGGGAACUCAAAGGAGACUGCCAGUGAUAAACUGGAGGAAGGUGGGGAUGACGUCAAGUCAUCAUGGCCCUUACGACCAGGGCUACACACGUGCUACAAUGGCAUAUACAAAGAGAAGCGACCUCGCGAGAGCAAGCGGACCUCAUAAAGUAUGUCGUAGUCCGGAUUGGAGUCUGCAACUCGACUCCAUGAAGUCGGAAUCGCUAGUAAUCGUAGAUCAGAAUGCUACGGUGAAUACGUUCCCGGGCCUUGUACACACCGCCCGUCACACCAUGGGAGUGGGUUGCAAAAGAAGUAGGUAGCUUAACCUUCGGGAGGGCGCUUACCACUUUGUGAUUCAUGACUGGGGUGAAGUCGUAACAAGGUAACCGUAGGGGAACCUGCUGUUGGAUCACCUCCUUACCUUAAAGAA
rnacentral:rRNA from 1 species